GAUGAACGCUGGCGGCGUGCCUAAUACUGCAAGUCGAGCGAAUGGAUUAAGAGCUUGCUCUUAUGAAGUUAGCGGCGGACGGGUGAGUAACACGUGGGUAACCUGCCCAUAAGACUGGGAUAACUCCGGGAAACCGGGGCUAAUACCGGAUAACAUUUUGAACCGCAUGGUUCGAAAUUGAAAGGCGGCUUCGCCUGUCACUUAUGGAUGGACCCGCGUCGCAUUAGCUAGUUGGUGAGGUAACGGCUCACCAAGGCAACGAUGCGUAGCCGACCUGGGAGGGUGAUCGGCCACACUGGGACUGAGACACGGCCCAGACUCCUACGGGAGGCAGCAGUAGGGAAUCUUCCGCAAUGGACGAAAGUCUGACGGAGCAACGCCGCGUGAGUGAUGAAGGCUUUCGGGUCGUAAAACUCUGUUGUUAGGGAAGAACAAGUGCUAGUUGAAUAAGCUGGCACCUUGACGGUACCUAACCAGAAAGCCACGGCUAACUACGUGCCAGCCGCCGCAGUAA
rnacentral:rRNA from 1 species